GAUGAACGCUGGCUACAGGCUUAACACAUGCAAGUCGAGGGGAAACGACGGGGAAGCUUGCUUCCCCGGGCGUCGACCGGCGCACGGGUGAGUAACGCGUAUCCAACCUGCCUCUGACUGAGGGAUAACCCGUCGAAAGUCGGCCUAAUACCUCAUGGCAUCGUCUGCGGGCAUCCAACGACGAUUAAAGAUUUCAUCGGUCAGGGAUGGGGAUGCGUCUGAUUAGCUUGUUGGCGGGGUAACGGCCCACCAAGGCGACGAUCAGUAGGGGUUCUGAGAGGAAGGUCCCCCACAUUGGAACUGAGACACGGUCCAAACUCCUACGGGAGGCAGCAGUGAGGAAUAUUGGUCAAUGGGCGAGAGCCUGAACCAGCCAAGUAGCGUGCAGGAUGACGGCCCUAUGGGUUGUAAACUGCUUUUAUGCGGGGAUAAAGUGAGGGACGUGUCCUUCAUUGCAGGUACCGCAUGAAUAAGGACGG
rnacentral:rRNA from 1 species